AAAGUCGGAAAAAGGGACGACAAAACUAAGCGAAUAGCCGUAGAAUUAUAGUCGUCGACAACUUUUAAGGUAAGUUUCUAGCAUAUAAGUUUAGUUAUAAUGAAGAAUGAUAUGGAAAACGGCAUAUAUGAUAUUAUGUUUUAAAUAUGUGAAUGAGAACUUUACAGAGUAAAUUGUAUAAAUCUGCAAGGGACAGCAGCAGUAGUGUUUUGGAAAAAUUACCAUAAAUUGUGGGACUUGAGUUAAAGGCUGAAUAAAAUAUGUAAUUAAAGCUUAAUGAGUCUAGUUUCUUAUAAAAGAAACCGUGUAAGCAAAGGAAUUUCCGAUAAUGAGAUAUUUAAAGUUGUGUGAGACGGUGUCAGAAUGACUCCGAAAUCCC
rnacentral:lncRNA from 1 species